rnacentral:lncRNA from 1 species
CCCGGCUGGUGAUGCCAUCAUAGAAGGCUACGAGGUUGGUCAAGCUCGAUUUCCCCUUGGUGAACCCAUGCUGACUGCUCCUGAUGACCUUCUCCUCCAAUUGCCUGGAGAUGGCACCCAGAACACGCUGCUCCAUGGCCUUUCCAGGCACAGAGCUCCAGGACCCCCCCCUCACCCAGAGGGCAGCUCUCCAUUCCUGGACUCUCCCUGUUCCCCCCGGGGUCCCAAGAGGGUGGUCUUGGAAGUGAGAACUGUACCAAAGAAGGCACUCAGCAUCUCCACCUCCUCAGCACACCUCCCCUUGUUCCACAGGGUACCUUCUUACUUCCUCAUCAACACAGCAAUUGGGGUUUCGUGAGUGGAACAAAUGUGCAACAGCCCCGAGCUGCGAGGAGGAGUCAGGAGAGAGAUUCCGUGCAGUGCUGCAGCACGGUGCAUCCGCAGGGCACUGCCCACAGCACCGUGCACUGCCUGCAGCACCGUGCACUGCCUGCAGCACUGAGCACUACCCGCAGCACCGUGCAUUCCCUGCAGCACCGUUCUCUACCUG